UACGUAGGGACCGAGCGUUGUCCGGAAUCAUUGGGCGUAAAGAGCGUGUAGGCGGCCACUUAAGUCCUGCGUGAAAUCUUGCGGCUCAACCGCAAGCGGUCGUGGGAAACUGGUGGCUAGAGUGCGGGAGAGGAGAGUGGAAUUCCUGGUGUAGCGGUGGAAUGCGCAGAUAUCAGGAAGAACACCCGUGGCGAAGGCGGCUCUCUGGAACGCAACUGACGCUGAGAGACGAAAGCUAGGGGAGCGAAUGGG
rnacentral:rRNA from 1 species